rnacentral:rRNA from 1 species
CAGCAGCCACGGUAAUACAGAGGGUGCGAGCGUUAAUCGGAUUUACUGGGCGUAAAGCGUGCGUAGGCGGCUUCUUAAGUCGGAUGUGAAAUCCCUGAGCUUAACUUAGGAAUUGCAUUCGAUACUGGGAAGCUAGAGUAUGGGAGAGGAUGGUAGAAUUCCAGGUGUAGCGGUGAAAUGCGUAGAGAUCUGGAGGAAUACCGAUGGCGAAGGCAGCCAUCUGGCCUAAUACUGACGCUGAGGUACGAAAGCAUGGGGAGCAAACAGGAUUAGAUACCCCAGUAGUCCUGUCUCUUAUACC